AUAUUGUCCUGUCACAGCAGU
rnacentral:miRNA from 8 species